ensembl:lncRNA
GCGAAGAGUUGACUCAUUGGAAAAGACUCUGAUGCUGGGAGGGAUUGGGGGCAGGAGAACAAGGGGACGACAGAGGAUGAGAUGGCUGGAUGGCAUCACAGACUGGAUGAACGUGAGUCUGAGUGAACUCCGGGAGUUGGUGAUGGACGGGGAGGCCUGGUGUGCUGCGAUUCAUGGGGUCGCAGAGUCGGACACGAUGAGUGACUGAACUGAACUGCAGCCCAAAACACACAGUAUGGGAUCAAGACCUGCGCCUCCAGUACCUCAAUCACAACCAUGAGUGAGGAGUUAAUGAAUUUCUCUGAUGACAUGGAGAUGCUUCCUCAUGAUGGUGAAUUCAUCUUGACUAUUGUAGGAAAAGACACUGAAGGGCAGGCAUGAGGCUGGAAAGGCAGAAGGAUUCUCUCGAAAUAGGAUCCCUACUUUCUUCCUCUGGGAGACUGGUGUAAC